UAGAUCCACCGGGCCAGGCGGGGUGGUCAACAGGCCCAGUAGAGCACCGGGCAAGGCGGGGUGGUCAACAGGCCCAGUAGACCACCGGGCCAGGCGGGGUGGUCAACAGGCCCAGUAGACCACCGGGCCAGGCGGGGUGGUCAACAGGCCCACAACAUGAGAUGUAUCCCAAAUUACAUCCUACUCUUUAUAGUCCACUACUUUGACCAGAGCGCUAUGGGUCCUGGUCUAAAGUAGUGCACUAUAGAAGGAAUAGGGUACCAUAGGGCUCUGGUCUAAAGUAGUGCACUAUAUAGGGAAUAGGGUGCCAUUUGAGACGCUUCCAGGGUCACUAUCCCCUAAGCCCCCCCCCCCAGUCGGGACCAAACCUGAACCCAGAACUCUGACCCCUAACCACAGGCUUAACCCCAGGCCCUUUCGACAGAGGCUGUCCUCUCUUAUCUUUGAUAUGUCCUGAGGGGGUGUGUGUGUGUUGUCAUUGGGGAUGAUGAGAGAGAGAACAUGCUUUUUACUCUUAUUGUAGCUAUGGAGGUCGCUAUGGAGACAGGUCGUGAGGUGAUCUCCUUCAACAGAGAUAUGACCGAUAGACAGGUCGUGAGGCGAUCUCCUUCAACAGAGAUAUGACCGAUAGACAGGUCGUGAGGCGAUCUCCUUCAACAGAGA